UACGGGGGGGGCAAGCGUUGUUCGGAAUUACUGGGCGUAAAGGGUGCGUAGGCGGUUCACUAAGUUGGAUGUGAAAACUAUGGGCUCAACUCAUAGCUUGCAUCCAAUACUGAUGGACUAGAGUUCUGGAGGGGGUAGCGGAAUUCCUGGUGUAGCGGUGAAAUGCGUAGAUAUCGAGAGGAAUACCAAAGGCGAAGGCAGGUCACUGGGCAGUUACUGACACUGAGGCACGAAGGCUAGGGGAGCAAACGGG
rnacentral:rRNA from 1 species